rnacentral:rRNA from 1 species
UACAGAGGUCUCAAGCGUUGUUCGGAUUCAUUGGGCGUAAAGGGUGUGUAGGUGGCGCGCUAAGUCGGGUGUGAAAUUUCGGAGCUUAACUCCGAAACUGCAUUCGAUACUGGCGUGCUUGAGGACUGGAGAGGAGACUGGAAUUUACGGUGUAGCAGUGAAAUGCGUAGAUAUCGUAAGGAAGACCAGUGGCGAAGGCGGGUCUCUGGACAGUUCCCUGACACUGAGACACGAAGGCCAGGGGAGCAAACGGG